rnacentral:lncRNA from 1 species
CUCUUCCCGAUCUCCUCCUCCCCGAGCCCGGCGCACCGAGCCGGCCGUGCCACCGAGCUGCGGCUCUGGCCCCGGCGCCGCGGGUGCGCUGCGGAUGGGCUUGGGGCGCACCCAGCGAGCAGCGAGAGUCGCGGUGUCCCGGGCGCUCGCUGGCACCGUGGCCGCAGCGGCCGGCCUGGGAGCCAGGAGGGCGAGGCGGCUGCACCUUCGGGGCCAGAUUGGAGUUCGAAGAGUGGCGGGUACCCCAGAAGCUCGGGGCCGGGGCGAUGGCUGCAGCCUCGGGAGGGUAUCGCCGGAUCGAACUCCGGGAAAGGGAAGCAAAGGCAUGGAACCUCCGCACACUGGAUGAGAAUCCAUCUUCCAUUCGAGCUGGGAAUAGACUUUGUGAAAGAUAUUAUGUAAUGGAGUCUCGGGAACCCUGAGACCUCUCCAGCGAAGCUGAAGUGAAUUAAUUAAGUGCUUUAAACGGUCUUGGUGCUGUGUUACGGGAGAGAGUGACUGGAAAGUAACAAAGCUGAAUCUUUCUCCCUGGAGUAAGGCCGAAGACUGGAUUACUACACGCCUAGACGUGACACUACACCCAUAGAUCUCAUGCAUCAUUAAUGCCAUAUGACAUUGCCAUUUUCUUUCUCAGUUCACGGACAAAAGUGGUGGGUUUUCAUUGUCUUCACUGAUUGUCAAUGCAUUAAUAAAGAAGAUGUGUGGUACAUAGUCUUUGUGAUAAAUCAGGUAAAGAAGCAACGGAAGUGAUGCAAAAUGCACGGUGUGGAGAUGGUUUCUCUUCAGUGGUUGUCAGAAAAGGUUUUCGUAAUGAUGGCUCUGUCAUUGAUGGGAUAUGAAGUAGUAAUCCGCUCCGUAGUGACCUACCAUUCACAAGAUGGGUACCAGACCAGACUAUGGUUACAGAAAGAGUUUGGGUGAGCCCAACAUGAUGACAAUCAGGUGUCACGGGUGAAAGUGGAC